rnacentral:rRNA from 1 species
AGAGUUUGAUCCUGGCUCAGAUUGAACGCUGGCGGCAUGCCUUACACAUGCAAGUCGAACGGCAGCACGGGGGCAACCCUGGUGGCGAGUGGCGAACGGGUGAGUAACAUAUCGGAACAUACCCUAGAGUGGGGGAUAACGUAGCGAAAGUUACGCUAAUACCGCAUACGAUCUAAGGAUGAAAGUGGGGGAUCUUCGGACCUCAUGCUCAUGGAGUGGCCGAUAUCUGAUUAGCUAGUUGGUGAGGUAAAGGCUCACCAAGGCGACGAUCAGUAGCUGGUUUGAGAGAACGACCAGCCACACUGGAACUGAGACACGGUCCAGACUCCUACGGGAGGCAGCAGUGGGGAAUUUUGGACAAUGGGGGCAACCCUGAUCCAGCAAUGCCGCGUGAGUGAAGAAGGCCUUCGGGUUGUAAAGCUCUUUUGUCAGGGAAGAAACGGUGAGUUCUAAUACAGCUUGCUAAUGACGGUACCUGAAGAAUAAGCACCGGCUAACUACGUGCCAGCAGCCGCGGUAAUACGUAGGGUGCAAGCGUUAAUCGGAAUUACUGGGCGUAAAGCGUGCGCAGGCGGUUAUAUAAGUCAGAUGUGAAAUCCCUGGGCUCAACCUAGGAACUGCAUUUGAGACUGUAUGGCUAGAGUGUGUCAGAGGGGGGUAGAAUUCCACGUGUAGCAGUGAAAUGCGUAGAGAUGUGGAGGAAUACCGAUGGCGAAAGCAGCCCCCUGGGAUAACACUGACGCUCAUGCACGAAAGCGUGGGGAGCAAACAGGAUUAGAUACCCUGGUAGUCCACGCCCU